rnacentral:rRNA from 1 species
GACGAACGCUGGCGGCGUGCUUAACACAUGCAAGUCGAACGGAAAGGCCCUGCUUUUGUGGGGUGCUCGAGUGGCGAACGGGUGAGUAACACGUGAGUAACCUGCCCUUGACUUUGGGAUAACUUCAGGAAACUGGGGCUAAUACCGGAUAGGAGCUCCUGCUGCAUGGUGGGGGUUGGAAAGUUUCGGCGGUUGGGGAUGGACUCGCGGCUUAUCAGCUUGUUGGUGGGGUAGUGGCUUACCAAGGCUUUGACGGGUAGCCGGCCUGAGAGGGUGACCGGCCCCCUUGGGACUGAGGUACGGCCCAGACUCCUACGGGAGGCAACAGUGGGGAAUAUUGCACAAUGGGCGGAAGCCUGAUGCAGCAACGCCGCGUGCGGGAUGACGGCCUUCGGGUUGUAAACCGCUUUCGCCUGUGACGAAGCGUGAGUGACGGUAAUGGGUAAAGAAGCACCGGCUAACUACGUG